rnacentral:rRNA from 1 species
GAUGAACGCUGGCGGCGUGCUUAACACAUGCAAGUCGAACGGAAAGGCCCAAGCUUGCUUGGGUACUCGAGUGGCGAACGGGUGAGUAACACGUGGGUGAUCUGCCCUGCACUUCGGGAUAAGCCUGGGAAACUGGGUCUAAUGCUGGAUAGGACCACUUCUUGGAUGUUGUGGUGGAAAGUUUUUUCGGUGUGGGAUGAGCUCGCGGCCUAUCAGCUUGUUGGUGGGGUAAUGGCCUACCAAGGCGUCGACGGGUAGCCGGCCUGAGAGGGUGUACGGCCACAUUGGGACUGAGAUACGGCCCAGACUCCUACGGGAGGCAGCAGUGGGGAAUAUUGCACAAUGGGCGCAAGCCUGAUGCAGCGACGCCGCGUGGGGGAUGACGGCCUUCGGGUUGUAAACUCCUUUCGCUAGGGACGAAGCGUUUUGUGACGGUACCUGGAGAAGAAGCACCGGCUAACUACGUG